rnacentral:rRNA from 1 species
UACAGAGGUCUCAAGCGUUGUUCGGAUUCAUUGGGCGUAAAGGGCGCGUAGGCGGCGUGACAAGUCACUUGUGAAAUCUCCGGGCUUAACUCGGAACUGCCAAGUGAUACUGUCGUGCUAGAGUGCAGAAGGGGCAAUCGGAAUUCUUGGUGUAGCGGUGAAAUGCGUAGAUAUCAAGAGGAACACCAGAGGCGAAGGCGGAUUGCUGGGCUGACACUGACGCUGAGGCGCGAAAGCUAGGGUAGCAAACGGG